GCACGGAGUUAGCCGGGGUUUCCUUUAACGGUACCGUCACGACCACGUGUUGUUCACACGCGAUCCGUUCGUCCCAUUCGACAGGAGUUUACGACCCGAAGAUCUUCAUCCUCCACGCGGCGUUGCGUCGUCAGGCUUGUGCCCAUUGCGAACAAUUCCCCACUGCUGCCUCCCGUAGGAGUCUGGGCCGUGUCUCAGUCCCAGUCUGGGUGAUCGUCCUCUCAGACCACCUACCGAUCGUCGCCUUGGUGAGCCGUUACCCCACCAACUAGCUAAUCGGACGCAGGCCCCUCCCGAAGCGCCUUGCGGCUUUACUGAUGCCCGUGAAGGCAUCACCACAUGCGGUAUUAGCCACCCUUUCGGGCAGUUAUUCCCCACUUCGGGGCAGGUCACCUACGCGUUACUCAGCCGUCCGCCACUAACGAACAGAGCAAGCCCUGUUCGUCCGUUCGACUUGCAUGUCUCAUGCACGCCGCCAGCGUUUAUC
rnacentral:rRNA from 1 species